rnacentral:rRNA from 1 species
GCUGACGAGCGGCGGACGGGUGAGUAACGCGUAGGAAUCUACCUUUCAGUUGGGGAUAGCCAGUAGAAAUGCUGAUUAAUACCGAAUACGGUCUACGGACGAAAGGGGGCUUCGGCUCCCGCUGAGAGAGGAGCCUGCGUUGGAUUAGCUAGUUGGUGGGGUAAAGGCCUACCAAGGCAACGAUCUAUAGCUGGUUUGAGAGGAUGAUCAGCCACACUGGGACUGAGACACGGCCCAGACUCCUACGGGAGGCAGCAGUGGGGAAUAUUGGACAAUGGGCGCAAGCCUGAUCCAGCCAUGCCGCGUGUGUGAAGAAGGCCUUCGGGUUGUAAAGCACUUUCAGUAGGGAGGAAAAGUUGGUGGUUAAUACCCAUCAGCCCUGACGUUACCUACAGAAGAAGCACCGGCUAACUCCGUGCCAGCAGCCGCGGUAAUACGGAGGGUGCGAGCGUUAAUCGGAAUUACUGGGCGUAAAGCGUACGUAGGCUGUUACUUAAGCUAGAUGUGAAAGCCCCGGGCUCAACCUGGGAACUGCAUUUAGAACUGAGUAGCUAGAAUGUGUGAGAGGUAAGUGGAAUUUCCAGUGUAGCGGUGAAAUGCGUAGAGAUUGGAAAGAACACCAGUGGCGAAGGCGACUUACUGGCAUAACAUUGACGCUGAGGUACGAAAGCGUGGGUAGCAAACAGGAUUAGAUACCCUGGUAGUCCACGCCGUAAACGAUGUCUACUAGUUGUUGGGACCUUUAUGGACUUAGUGACGCAGCUAACGCAUUAAGUAGACCGCCUGGGGAGUACGGUCGCAAGAUUAAAACUCAAAUGAAUUGACGGGGGCCCGCACAAGCGGUGGAGCAUGUGGUUUAAUUCGAUGC